GCCUUCGUGGUGCAAUGGCCAGCACACUCGGCCUGUAUCCAGAGGUCCGAGGUUUGAGUCCCGGAGAGGGCA
rnacentral:tRNA from 1 species